rnacentral:rRNA from 1 species
CUCGCGUGUCGUGUCAGCAGCCGCGGUAAUACGUAGGGUGCGAGCGUUGUCCGGAAUUACUGGGCGUAAAGGGCUCGUAGGUGGUUUGUCGCGUCGUCUGUGAAAUUCCGGGGCUUAACUCCGGGCGUGCAGGCGAUACGGGCAUAACUUGAGUACUGUAGGGGUAACUGGAAUUCCUGGUGUAGCGGUGAAAUGCGCAGAUAUCAGGAGGAACACCGAUGGCGAAGGCAGGUUACUGGGCAGUUACUGACGCUGAGGAGCGAAAGCAUGGGUAGCGAACAGGAUUAGAUACCCUGGUAGUCCAUGCCGUAAACGGUGGGCGCUAGGUGUGAGGGUCUUUUCACGACUUUCGUGCCGUAGCUAACGCAUUAAAGCGCCCCGCCUGGGGAGUACGGCCGCAAGGCUAAAACUUAAAUGAAUUGGCGGG